rnacentral:rRNA from 1 species
UCUGUAGGUUGAACACUUGCGGAGGGAUCAUUACCGAGUUUACAACUCCCAAACCCAAUGUGAACGUUACCAAACUGUUGCCUCGGCGGGAUCUCUGCCCCGGGUGCGUCGCAGCCCCGGACCAAGGCGCCCGCCGGAGGACCAACCAAAACUCUUUAUUGUAUACCCCCUCGCGGGUUUUUUUAUAAUCUGAGCCUUCUCGGCGCCUCUCGUAGGCGUUUCGAAAAUGAAUCAAAACUUUCAACAACGGAUCUCUUGGUUCUGGCAUCGAUGAAGAACGCAGCGAAAUGCGAUAAGUAAUGUGAAUUGCAGAAUUCAGUGAAUCAUCGAAUCUUUGAACGCACAUUGCGCCCGCCAGUAUUCUGGCGGGCAUGCCUGUCCGAGCGUCAUUUCAACCCUCGAACCCCUCCGGGGGGUCGGCGUUGGGGAUCGGCCCUGCCUUUGGCGGUGGCCGUCUCCGAAAUACAGUGGCGGUCUCGCCGCAGCCUCUCCUGCGCAGUAGUUUGCACACUCGCAUCGGGAGCGCGGCGCGUCCACAGCCGUUAAACACCCAACUUCUGAAAUGUUGACCUCGGAUCAGGUAGGAAUACCCGC